CAAAACAGUAUUAUUUUGCUAGCUAAAAUCACAAGGAGUUGGGUCACGAUAUUAUGGGAACCACAAGAACUCCAUCCAUAUUUUGCCAACUUUUUCUCCAGAACGGAACUGAACCCAUGGUUUUGAUUUUGAAGUUUUUAUACAUGUAUAGUUCUAAUAAUUAAAUAGCUCACAAAUAAUAUUAAUGUUUGCAUAUGUAACUUUUUUGUAGCUUUAUUUUAUGUUAUUUUCCUUAAAUUUUCAAAUGGGUGCAUGGUACCAAAAUUAAUUGCUCGGUGUUGUUUAGUAUUUAAAUUUUAGGAUGUUGUUGGCAAUUUUAAAUAUUGGUUUAGCUGUUACGCUUCCCUUUUCCAUGGUUUCCAUUAAAUUUUUUGGUGUUAUGUAUUGAAUUUGUAGGUGGAGAUGAAUGCUCUUAAGUCUGGACUCUCUAUAAAUAAAAAGAAAAAAUAUAUAUUAAUAAUAAUUACAGUAUUAAUAUUAUUAUUAAUAAUAAUAAUAGUGGUAUCAGCUUUAAAGCCGUUGGAACCCCCUGCCUUGUAUUUAUUUAUUUUAAUUAUUUAUUUCUCUGGUAUAGAGUUUAUUUUACAUUCUGUAAAUCUCUCUCCACAUCAAACUUAAAAACACCGACUCCCCUCUCUAAUAAGCAAUGAAUGAAUGAAGAGAAAGAGAAGAGAGGCCUUACUCCUCUGGCUUGUGUAAUUACAAAUAUUUACUCCAAAUUUCCACUUCCUGCUAUAUUUCUUGGGAUUUUUUCCAACCAUUAAUACAUUUCCUGGCCUCAAUUUACAUCUUCUUCUACCACCCCCAACACUUCAAUUCUCUCUCUCCUCUUAAAUCCUAUAAUUUAAUUAUGCUUUAAAGAAAACCCAUCUCCCUUCUUCCUCAACUCCACUUCUAUAUAAUGCUCCCUUCCCUUCUUCUAACAUAUCUCCCCAUAUAUACCCAACAACUAUACACCAACACAUAUUACCUUUCAUCUUCACCUUUUCUUCCUUCCCUCUUUUCGUUCUAAGUUUCUUUCUAGUACUUCUACUACUCUCUCUCCCACCCCCUUUCCCCAACUUAUUAUAUAUUCUCAAUCAGGUUAUUAUUAUUAUAUAUUUACAAAACUUAGAAGACAAAGAUUACUUGUACAAUUUGUUACAAUUAAUUAAGCAGUACUUAAUUAGUAGCUAAGAUGAGUCGCCGAAACGGAAGCCGUCCAAAGCUAGAUUUAAAGCUGAACCUAUCGCCGCCUCGGGCGAACCCGCUGGUGGAGUCGCCGAGGCGGUCGGCUACGGUGUCACCGACGUCGCCACAGAGCUCGUGCGUGUCGUCGGAGCUGAAUCAAGACGAUCACAUGAGCCUCCGAUACUCGAACAGCCCAGAGGCCACUUCCAUGGUGUUGGUGGGGUGCCCUAGAUGCCUCAUGUAUGUCAUGCUCUCAGAAGAUGAUCCCAAGUGCCCCAAAUGUAAAAGCACCGUUUUGCUCGACUUCCUCCAUGACAACACUACUCCUACCUCUAAGCCUAGGAAGAGCUAAGACCAUUAUUAUUACCUAUAUUACUACUACUAUUAUUAUUAUAUAUAUAAACUUCAUCACCAUCAUCAUUUAGUCUUUCAUCUUCUCUCCCUUUCUUUUUUCUUUUUUUUAGGAGAAUCAUGUUAACUAGCUUUUUUUUUAUUUAUUUAAUUUCUUUGGAGGUAGUGUUAUUUGCGCUCCAUUUUAAGAAAGAAAUUUUGCUUGAUUUUGAGAGAUUUUGUGAUCGACAAAAGGCUCGUUUGUGAAGAAAUAGAGAAGGAAAAUGGAGUGAAAAUAACACAACUUUUUUUUUUCUACUACUAGUAUUUUUUUUCGUAAUCAUAGAAAAUAGAGGAAGGGGCAAAAUGGGGUUUUGGCAUGGAUAACUUUGUCUUGUUCUGUUUCACUCUCUAGCAGAAGUGCAAUGUAAACCGUUACGUUCUAACAGUAACAGUAACUUCUGAAUAUUUUCUCUCAAGGCUAUUAAUUUAUUUUAUUUUCAGUUUUUA